rnacentral:misc_RNA from 1 species
AAGUCGUAACAAGGUUUCCGUAGGUGAACCUGCGGAAGGAUCAUUAUCACGUAUCCACGUAUAAACCAUUGUGAACCGUUCAUUAACCUUUGUUUUUUUCGAUCAAGAGAGUUGCGAGUCAAACGUUUAAAACAGCAAUAGUAAUUGAGCUGUUGUUUGAAGCGCCGCAGUCGAUGUUUCUCUCCGGAGUUCUCGACUACGCUUGUGAAAAAUUCAAAGUGUAUUCAAUUACUACUUAUUAACCAUUAUAACCCAAUCUUUAUAACUUUAUGAACUAACUUUAUUUUAUACUCUUCGGAGAUAAAAUUCAUUACGAAACAAAGAACAACUCUUAGCAACGGAUAUCUUGGUUCUC